GACGAACGCUGGCGGCGUGCUUAACACAUGCAAGUCGAGCGGAAAGGCUCCUUCGGGGGUACUCGAGCGGCGAACGGGUGAGUAACACGUGAGUAAUCUGCCCUGUGCUUUGGGAUAACCACCGGAAACGGUGAUUAAUACCGGAUACGACCUUCUCUCGCAUGAGAUGGGGGCGGAAAGUUUUUCGGCGCAGGAUGUGCUCGCGGCCUACCAGCUUGUUGGUGGGGUAAUGGCCUACCAAGGCUUCGACGGGUAGCCGGCCUGAGAGGGUGACCGGCCACACUGGGACUGAGACACGGCCCAGACUCCUACGGGAGGCAGCAGUGAGGAAUAUUAGACAAUGGGCGGAAGCCCGAUCCAGCAACGCCGCGUGAGGGAUGACGGCCUUCGGGUUGUAAACCUCUUUCAGCACCGACGAAGCGAGAGUGACGGUAGGUGCAGAAGAAGGUCCGGCCAACUACGUGCCAGCAGCCGCAGUAAGAC
rnacentral:rRNA from 1 species